rnacentral:rRNA from 1 species
CCUGACCUCGGAUCAGACGUGAAUACCCGCUGAACUUAAGCAUAUCACUAAGCGGAGGAAAAGAAACUAACCAGGAUUCCCCUAGUAACGGCGAGUGAACGGGGAUUAGCCCAGCACCGAAGCCUGUGGCCGUUUGGCUGCUAGGCAAUGUGGUGUUUAGGUCGUCUCUUGGCAUUACUGCUCCAUCCUAAGUCCAGCACUGAGUAUGGCAUCUGGAAUGGCCCAUGGAGGGUGAAAGGCCCGUGGGGGUGGAGAUCAAGUCGGCCAGUAUUGCCCUGAGUAGACCUUGGAGUCGGGUUGUUUGUGAAUGCAGCCCAAAGUGGGUGGUAAACUCCAUCCAAGGCUAAAUACUAACACGAGUCCGAUAGCGAACAAGUACCGUGAGGGAAAGUUGAAAAGUACUUUGAAGAGAGAGUAAACAGUGCGUGAAACCGCUCAGAGGUAAACAGGUGGAGUUGAACUGUAAGCUCCGGGGAUUCAGCUGGUGAGUGUGUCAUGGGCUUGGCCAUUUUCGGUCGGCUUCUGGAGUCCGCUUAGCUGCGGGUCUUUGCUCUUUCGGGAGUAAGGAUGUGCGUUGCGCUUGUCAAGUGCUGUGCGCUCUAGGGGUUUCCGGGCUGACUCGCUAGUGCACUUUCUCGGAGUGGUCACCACGACCGGCGUUGUUGUCUUACUGCUGUGGUCAAACCGGUCAGAUUUGGUCCUUGUGGCUGAAUUUGAUCGGGAUGGCAGGUAGCUCAUUGGUUGGCUUGCCAGCCUUUGGGUGUAAUAGCUGACUGCAGUGGUUUUGUGCAAUACGUCGGAGACGGCGGCUUCAGGUAUGUGCUUAUGUGCUGUGAGCUGGCAGUGUCGGGUCUGACUGGCGUGUUACCUGCUUCGGUGGGUCUGUCGGUGGCUCGGUGCUGUUCGGUUUGCGGUUGCAUUUGUGAUGCCGUUAAUGGGCCCAUAGUCUGUGGUGUAGCAGCAAACGAUCCACCUGACCCGUCUUGAAACACGGACCAAGGAGUUUAACAUGUGCGCGAGUCAUUGGGCGUUACGAAACCCAAAGGCGCAGUGAAAGUGAAGGUUCGGCUUGUCCGGACUGAGGUGAGAUCCUGUGGCUUCUCGUGCGAGGUACCACCAAGCGUGUGAGUCAUAGGCGCAUCACCAGCCCGUCUCAUGGUGUAGUCGUGUGGCCUUGUGUUGCAUGCGUCACCGGGGCGGAGCCUGAGCGCACACGUUGAGACCCGAAAGAUGGUGAACUAUGCUUGCGCAGGUUGAAGCCAGAGGAAACUCUGGUGGAGGACCGCAGCGAUUCUGACGUGCAAAUCGAUCGUCUAACGUGAGUAUAGGGGCGAAAGACUAAUCGAACCAUCUAGUAGCUGGUUCCCUCC